GGGUCCUGCAAACACAAACAUGACUCAUUAGUAUUUGAACUUAGGCAGAAACCUGCCACCUUUGAAAAUGACUAAAAAUUCCACAUAUAUAGAUGGAAUAGUAUUUCUGAUGCCAACUUUGAUUUAACCACAGCUGUAGUUUCAAAUCUGACUGCAUACAUUCAUUCAUAGUCAGAUUCAGGUACAGAAAACAAUGUUUGGCUGAACAUUUAGCAAAUCUAGUCAAAUGUACAGCUGCUCCUAACGUUGUUCCAGUUAUACAGCUUAAGUGAGCUAGAAGUCUCAGGACUAGUUUAAUCCCCAUAGGAGAGUCUGCAGCAGAUAUUAGAAAGUCUAUUAGAAAGUCUUCCUUUUAAUUAAGAGAUGGUAUUUUUAUUGCAUCACCUGAUACCACUUCCCAUAAUUGCUGGCGAUGUCAGAACUGACAAGGGACCCUCAUGUCUGCAGACUAUUUCAUUUAAUCCCUGAUGGGACAAUGAGGCCAAAACUCAAGUUUCCUGGUACUUUCAGAACUUUCAGUAGUUGAGUCCAUGUUCUUGUUUCUCAUAAACUUAUCUGAAUUUUUCUGGGAAAUGAAGUGCUAUAUUUAUGGUUAUAGAAAUGCCCUGAUGCCAUUAACACUUCUGCAUUGUCUCAGGAACGGAAGAAGCCGUGAUUUGGUGAUACAUGGUCCACUUAAUCCUCAGCUGAAAGGUCAGCUAACAAAGCAUUUGCUUGUGCCAGUGAUGGUUCACUGAAAAUCAAACCAAGAACACUACCCAGUUCUACAUGGCCUGAAGGAUUUAUUUAGAGCAAGGUACCGGCAUGACAACUGGGUUUAGGAAGCUGUUCUCCCACGGCAGAAGGUCUCCACCAGUUCACAAGGCUGAGAUUCAUCCACUGGAUUAGAGAACUGAACGUUCCCAAGAUGGAGAAGGCCUGACAAUACCUGAAAUAUAAUCAAUCACUGAGUUUUCUAAAACAGAGCUCCCCUUCAAGACAGCGUCCUCUUAGCCUUGCCUUAGCCACACAAACAGUCAAAACAUUUCUGCACAAAAAAAAUUUCUUUCAGAAUUUGGCAGCCAGCGGUAGUCAGCCCCUUCUGGAAGGUUCCAUUCUAGCCUCUCUUCUGCAGUAGCACCUUUUGUGAUCUGGAAACAGAAAACAAGUUUCAUUGCCUUUUGGGGAGAUAACUGAAGCAGCAACAGAAGCAUAGAAUUUCAUAAGGCAGCGAGAUGUCCA